rnacentral:rRNA from 1 species
AUGGGCUCCCUGGGAAGCAGCGACGUCGAGAAGCGACUGGCGGUGGAGAGCGUGAACACGGAGGCGGCAUGCGCACUGCUCGCAACCGAGCAGUACGGGUACGUGGACGUCCGCAUGUGGGAGGACUUCGACCGGGGCCAUGUCGCCGGCGCGCGCAACGUGCCCUACUACCUCUCCGUCAACCCCCACGGCAAGGAGCGCAACCUGGACUUCGUGGACCAGGUCGCCGCGCUCCACUCGAAACAGGACCGGCUCCUCGUCGGCUGCCGCUCCGGGGUGCGGUCCAGGCUCGCCACCGCCGACCUCGUCGCCGCCGGGUUCACGAAGGUGAAGAACCUGGAGGGUGGCUACCUCUCCUUGCUCAAGAGCGUCAGUUACCAGCAGCCGGCAGCACUAGCCAACCUUCACUAA